rnacentral:lncRNA from 1 species
AAUUAUAGGACAUUAACUGUCCUCUGAAGUAAAUUGGGAUUUCAAUCAUAUAUCAAACCACAAAAUUUUAUUGUGUUACCAUGCUUUAAAAAGUUAAGAUACCAAAGAGAAUAAAAUCAGCUUUUGUGAAAUUAGAUGGAAAGAGAAUAGAAAUGUUGGAAGACUAAAAUUCCCUUUGAUAUUUUAAAGUUGUAUUAGAAU